UACGUAGGAUGCAAGCGUUGUCCGGAAUUAUUGGGCGUAAAGAGCUCGUAGGCGGUUUGUCGCGUCUGCUGUGAAAACUCGGGGCUUAACCCCGGGCCUGCAGUGGGUACGGGGCAGACUAGAGUGCGGUAGGGGAGACUGGAAUUCCUGGUGUAGCGGUGAAAUGCGCAGAUAUCAGGAGGAACACCGGUGGCGAAGGCGGGUCUCUGGGCCGUAACUGACGCUGAGGAGCGAAAGCAUGGGGAGCGAACAGG
rnacentral:rRNA from 1 species